rnacentral:rRNA from 1 species
UACAGAGGGUGCGAGCGUUGUUCGGAAUCAUUGGGCGUAAAGCGCUUGUAGGCGGCCUGUCAAGUCGCGUGUGAAAUCCCCUGGCUUAACCAGGGAAGUGCGCGCGAAACUGGCGGGCUUGAGUGCCGGAGAGGGUCGCGGAAUUCCCGGUGUAGAGGUGAAAUUCGUAGAUAUCGGGAGGAACACCAGUGGCGAAGGCGGCGACCUGGACGGACACUGACGCUGAGACGCGAAAGCGUGGGGAGCGAACAGG